GCACGAAGGAGCUUCGACGAUUUUCAUAAGCAUGCUGUGUCCAAACGACCUUCUCGACAGCAUUACUCUCACAAGCGCUGGAGUUCCUGCGGUGAAUAGAACCCUGUCCAAGAAGACGAAAUUCAAUCGCAUUCGAUCCCACAAAGAAAGAUCCAGAAAUCUUACCUGGAGAGAACCGGAAACGGAUAUUUCGAGAGGAAAUCCGACACAGAGCUCUCGGGAAGGGCGCGCGGCAAAUGCACGAGAUCGAUCGCGACAAGAAUGCGAUACCUGGAAGCGCGACGAGAUCAGAGGCCUCCGCCAAGAGCAGUUUCGCGUCGACGCCGUCGAUCGCCA
rnacentral:lncRNA from 1 species